AAAUGAUGAUGGUGGGCAUUGUUGCUGAAGACUCAUAAAUCGGUCUCAUGCCUCAUGAAAAGAUUCACCCGAGGUUUGAGCAAAUGUAAAAAUCUAUGCUCUCAAAUC